AGACCCCGACAAACAGCAGCCCUUUGCAGGAGGUGCAAUAACACACAAAGCAGCCUCAAACCGCCGCCUCUUGAGGCUCAAUGCCAGCACUCACAACCGAGCUCUGCCGUCGGGGCUCGCCGCUCCAGUCCGACCCUCUGCCGCGUCCCCCACGGCCUUCAUGCCUUCAGACAGAACCUUUCCUUGUAAAAAUCACUUCAUAGCGCCCGAGCCUGAAAACUACCAGGUAACAGCUUUUUUACAACCCGACUCUCAGGACACGAUUUCAUUUCUUUCCUUAACCCUCUUUCCAUCUCUCUCCGGGUUACAUUUCCCAAUGAGAAAUCCCUUCGGAAUUAGAGAGAAUUAAAACAUUCAAACCUUGCAAUGGGAGCUGAUUCACGACCUGCCCUUAAGCUGCAGGAUUUUCAGCCUGAUGUUGAAUCCUGAUUCCACCCAGAGGCAUUUUCGGCUUCUGAAACAUCCCUGGGACUUCCAUGAAGGUGGGAAGAGCCCCUCAACCAUCAGCAGAGAGCUGGAGAAACUCCAUAGGUACAUCAGUUUGCUGUUCUCGCUGCUUUUCCUUCUGAUUAAUCACAGGGUUUUUUUGGAGCUUGGUAGGGAAAUUAGGUGAAAUUAAUUGGAAAGAAUCAUCAGAAAUCCAGGCUGGGAAAAAGAAUGAGAGCAAAUUCUGCUUCACUUCCAUUGGCUGUAAGCACUCCUCUCCCUCUGCCCCUGGCCCUUGUCCGGGGACCUUUGCCUUUGGUUUAUGGCUCUCCUUUGAGCAGUGUCUGUGUCUCGCACCCUUGACAACAGUCUCCUCUCCUCCAGUCGUUCUGAAGGUUUGGAUCUCAAAUAGAGUUAAAAAAAAGAAAAGAAAAGAAAAAAAAAAAAAGAAAAAAGAAAUACUUCUCCAGCUCUCUGAUCAUCCCUUGGUGCUUGGACAUUGUCCUGCCCCUUCAUCUGCCAGUUUUUCUUCAGAAGAAGUGUAUUAAAAGGCCCCAAAAUCACGAGGCCCAGAGGCCCUGAUGCUGGCAGUUUUAUGGAGAUAGCAACAGAAAGAACAUCCCGUCAUCACAGCAGCCUGGAGGUGGAGCACUGGAAGAAAGGAGGCUGCCCAGAAAUAUCUUUGCAGGAAGGGAAGAAAGGAAGAGAUUCUCCCAAGGAAACCAACCAACCUUGGAAAAAAUGAAGCCCUCGGUAAAGGAAAAAAGAAAAAGGGAAUCACGUUUUAUAUUGUCUUUUUAAUUAACCCAUCUAAUAUUGCCUGAGUAUGCAGGAGCAGAGAAAUGAGGAAGUAGCAGAGAUUAUGGUAAGGGUUUGCUGUAUCCCAUGUCCUAAGUGUAAAUAAUGUUCCUGUUAAUUUAAAACCAAGGCUGACUGUCUUUACGACUUCAUUGCACUCACAUUAGCUCUACCUUUAGGCAGUGUCAUGGGUGCAAAUAGAUUGGGUUGAAAACUUCCCUAGAGCCACUUUAAAGUGACAUCUAAUCUUUCCCUUUAGUGGUGUUAAUUCAACUUCACAAGAGCGUUUGAAGCACCAUUAGGCAGAGAAAUGGACCUUCUCUCCUGCUGGUGCCCUUAUCCAAAUCACAACAUUCCCCCCCAAAAAUCUGUUUCAUAUCAGGCCAACUGUCGGUGGCUCCAGAGAGCAGCUGAAGGAGACGUGGGCUUCUUCUUUAUGAGAGUUAAAUACAUAAAGGAUUUGUGUUUUGUGUUUCUUGCUGCCUGCUGGAAGUCUCUAAGCGUCUUGGGAACCUCCUGGCUCACACAAUGCAGUGGGAAUGGGGACAGAGAAAGACUUGGGGAUGCAACCAUGGAGACAGAGGAUUCCCCACAAACCAGUGUGCCUGCCAGGGUAUGAUGGCGUGCUGUUGGGAUGGACUUUAACCAAGGAAAAGUGGAAAAUGAAGUGCUGGGAAGGAAGUCCCAUGAGUUUUGUGGUAGGCCACAGUCAUGUCCUUACAUGUGUCUGGCAUUCCACAAAUGGGCAGAGAGGUUGAGCAAAGGCCACAAGUGUUACUGCUCACCAGUGGGAAGGGUGUUGGCCAUUAAAUAGAAAUGUGUUACAAAAGCUGGGUGGCCCAGAGGCACUGUGGUGCUGCAGCUGGAGCAAGAUUUCUCAUCUGUGCUGGCUGAGGGCAGCACUCUGCCCCAUCUCCUGCCUCCAGCACGGCUCACAGCAGAGAGAUAGGGAAAAGACAUGCAUGCAGUGCUAGGGGUGAUGGCUCAGCCCCUGAUGGUGAGCAAGGUAAGAAACUUUCUGACCUGGUGGCUUUGUAUGGAUUGCUAUUGAUGGUCAAAGGUGGAUGUGCCCUUUAGUAACCUGUUGGAUUCCCUUCAGCCUCCUGUUUACAUCUUUGGCUUCUGCAGCCUAUGAUGGCAGCAAGUUCAAGGUCACAUUCUAUGAGAAAAAACUCUGAAGCAGUGACUAAAUAUUCUCCUGAACCCUU